rnacentral:rRNA from 1 species
AUACGGGGCUUAAUGUCUUGUAAUUGGAAUGAUGGGAAUUUAAACCUCUUCCAGAGUAUCAAUUGGAGGGCAAGUCUGGUGCCAGCAGCCGCGGUAAUUCCAGCUCCAAUAGCGUAUAUUAAAAUUGUUGCAGUUAAAAAGCUCGUAGUUGAAUUUCUGCUGCAUUGCUUUUGCUCCUUUACGAGUCUUUGCAUUGUGGCUUAUUUCGGACUUUGUUUUACAAUGUCCGGAUGUUUACUUUGAGAAAAUUAGAGUGCUCAAAGCAGGCUUUCGCCUUGAAUAGUUUAGCAUGGAAUAAUAAAGUAGGACUUUGGUUCUAUUUUGUUGGUUUU